GGGGGGGGGGGGGGGGGGGGGGGGGAGGGGCGGGGGGGGGGGGGGGGGGCGGCGGUGGGGGGGUGCUCGGGUGGCGAACGGGUGGGUAACACGUGAGUAACCGGCCCUUGACUUUGGGAUAACUUCAGGAAACGGGGGCUAAUGCCGGAUAGGAGCUCCUGCUGCAUGGUGGGGGUGGGAAAGUUUCGGCGGUUGGGGAUGGACUCGCGGCUUCUCAGGUUGUUGGUGGGGUAGUGGCUUACCAAGGCUUUGACGGGUAGCCGGCCUGAGAGGGUGACCGGCCACAUUGGGACUGAGAUACGGACCAGACUCCUACGGGCGGCAGCAGUGGGGAAUAUUGCACAAUGGGCGGAAGCCUGAUGCAGCAACGCCGCGUGCGGGAUGACGGCCUUCGGGUUGUAAACCGCUUUCGCCUGUGACGAAGCGUGAGUGACGGUAAUGGGUAAAGAAGCACCGGCUAACUACGUG
rnacentral:rRNA from 1 species